GGUGGCUCAGUGGUAGAGUGCUUGCCUUGCAUGCAUGGGACCCUGGGUUUGAUUCUCAGCACCA
rnacentral:tRNA from 1 species